rnacentral:ncRNA from 2 species
GAGGGUAGGCCCCUCGGAGUCGGCGUUCAGGCGCGGGCUCCAAACCACCCCAAGCUGCUGCGGUAAAGAGUCGUGGUGGUGAGCAUUGGGUCAAAGCGCGGGGUUACGCCCCACGCAGGU